rnacentral:rRNA from 1 species
AUACGUAGGUGGCAAGCGUUAUCCGGAUUUACUGGGCGUAAAGGGCGUGUAGGCGGUCUUGCAAGUCAGAAGUGAAAUUCCUGGGCUCAACUCGGGCGCUGCUUCUGAAACUGCAGGACUUGAGUGCUGGAGGGGAUAGCGGAAUUCCUAGUGGAGCGGUAAAAUGCGCAGAUAUUAGGAAGAACACCGGUGGCGAAGGCGGCUAUCUGGACAGUAACUGACGCUGAGGCGCGAAAGCGUGGGGAGCAAACAGGAUUAGAUUCCCUGGUAGUCCACGCCGUAAACGAUGAAUACUAGGUGUAGGGGGUAUCGACUCCCUCUGUGCCGCAGUUAACACAAUAAGUAUUCCGCCUGGGGAGUACGGCCGCAAGGUUGAAACUCAAAUGAAUUGACGGGG